UCGAACGAACCUUCGGGUUAGUGGCGGACGGGUGAGUAACGCGUGGGAAUCUGCCCUCAGGAGGGGGAUAACGGUUGGAAACGACCGCUAAUACCCCAUAUGCCGAGAGGUGAAAUGAAUUUCGCCUGAGGAUGAGCCCGCGUCUGAUUAGCUUGUUGGUGAGGUAAUGGCUCACCAAGGCUUCGAUCAGUAGCUGGUCUGAGAGGAUGAUCAGCCACACUGGGACUGAGACACGGCCCAGACUCCUACGGGAGGCAGCAGUGGGGAAUUUUCCGCAAUGGGCGAAAGCCUGACGGAGCAACGCCGCGUGAGGGACGAAGGCCUCUGGGCUGUAAACCUCUUUUCUCAAGGAAGAAGAUAUGACGGUACUUGAGGAAUAAGCCACGGCUAAUUCCGUGCCAGCAGCCGCGGUAAUACGGGAGUGGCAAGCGUUAUCCGGAAUUAUUGGGCGUAAAGCGUCCGCAGGCGGCCUUUCAAGUCUGCUGUUAAAACGUGGAGCUUAACUCCAUCAUGGCAGUGGAAACUGAUAGGCUUGAGUAUGGUA
rnacentral:rRNA from 1 species